AUAGCUCUUGUUUCUUUUUUUUUUUUCCUUUUUUUCUUUUUUGUGUGCAGCGUUUAUUACAAAGCCAAGAGAUACAAAUGACUCAGGACAGGAAGGUACAGUUACAGGACCUUAGACUCAGGACAUAGUACAAACAGACCCACGGGCUCAGAACCUCACACACUAAGCCAAUACCUUGUCCUCCCCUUGCCCCCCAGAUCUAUGUACACUUGAUAGCUCUUGCUUCUCGUGGUUUGUGUUUUCAGACCAUGUAGGUGUUAAUGACGACUUGGCUUCAUGAGGAGCCGAAGUAGGAACUCGGCAGAAUGCAUUUCGAAGACAACACUGGGUCAGGGCAGGAUGAAAACAAGACAAAAGAUGAUAAAGCGCUUUCUGCUCAUUCGCGAUCAGGAGAACAUAGCUACUCCACCGAGGCAGAAGAGAAGGGGAUCAGGAGUCUGUCACAGAGGGCAUGCUCUGUUAUAGAUGUUUCUAGAGAAAAAUAAAGAGACACAACUUGAAAGAAAGAGAUUUAAAAACGGUUCCUUGA
rnacentral:lncRNA from 1 species